rnacentral:lncRNA from 1 species
GUAUAACUUUGCAAUCCUUACAAGUUAUACGAUCCCCUUUCCUCAUUAGAAGAAAAUCUAUUUGUGUUUUUGACGACCCACUCUUGUAGGUGAUCACAUGUUCUUCUCUCUUCUUAAAGAAGGUGUUGGCUAAGAAGAGAUCAUAUGCCAUUACAAAAUCCAAGAUAGCUUCCCCAUCCUCGUUUCUCUCCCUAAAACCAUGGCCACCAUGAAAACCUCCAUAGUUGCAUGUCUCCCUGCCCACGUGUCCAUUUAAAUCUCCUCCUAUAAAUAACUUCUCCGUCUGAG